rnacentral:rRNA from 1 species
AUUGAACGCUGGCGGCAUGCCUUACACAUGCAAGUCGAACGGCAGCACGGGGGCAACCCUGGUGGCGAGUGGCGAACGGGUGAGUAAUGCAUCGGAACGUGCCCAGUAGUGGGGGAUAACCAGUCGAAAGACUGGCUAAUACCGCAUACGACCUACGGGUGAAAGCGGGGGACCGCAAGGCCUCGCGCUAUUGGAGCGGCCGAUGUCUGAUUAGCUAGUUGGCGGGGUAAGAGCCCACCAAGGCGACGAUCAGUAGCUGGUCCGAGAGGACGACCAGCCACACUGGGACUGAGACGCGGCCCAGACUCCUACGGGAGGCAGCAGUGGGGAAUUUUGGACAAUGGGCGCAAGCCUGAUCCAGCCAUGCCGCGUGCGGGAAGAAGGCCUUCGGGUUGUAAACCGCUUUUGGCAGGAACGAAACGGCGCGAGCCAAUACCUCGCGCUAAUGACGGUACCUGCAGAAUAAGCACCGGCUAACUACGUGCCAGCCGCCGCAGUAAUAC